rnacentral:lncRNA from 1 species
AAAGUGACGCUUUUGCACUUUGUGACAUCUGUCUGAGUAAAGGUGGUGUACAAAGAAAAGGAACUUACGGUAAGAUCUACGUCUGGUAGUUUAGUAGAAACACACCCCCACAGAGCUGAUGAAGACGAGCUCGCACUUCCUUUCUGCGCCACAUUUGAGGCUCAGCUGUCGGGCGCGGCGCCUCACCCGUGUCCUGCAGCUCGCCCGCUGCAGACCCCGCUGCAGGAUGAACGCCCGGUGGUGGAGCUUCCUGUUCGGACUUGUGUGUGUGCGUGCCGAGGGGACGCGCUGGACAGCCUCUCAGAGCCCGGCAUCCAUCCGUCGAGUGGAGAUCAACUCGUCUCUGGAGAUCUCCUGCUCCACAUCGCUGCCCCGCGUGCUGUCGUUGAGCCUGCACAGGCUUUUCAAGUCCGACGCGCAAAUCGUGUACCUGUCUUUGAACGACGGCGAAAUCACCAAACAAAAUCCCCGCGCGGACUACGUAGACCGGGUCCGUGUGACCGGAGAGCGUUCGGAGUCGGAGUACCAGGUGACGCUGCGGCUGUCCGAGCUACAGCAGGACGACACCGACUUGUACUACUGCAGCUGGACGUACACAGAGGCGUAUGCCGUGGAGCAUCUGAGAAGCAACGGCACCGUCCUCAUCGUGGGAGGUGAGGACGAGUCCGGAGGCGUCAGCAGAGUUCUGAUGUUCACUAACACGUCUUCCAUGUCUGCCUCAGAGAAAAGGCCUGAACCCCGGUGCCAGAUGCCCCCCCUGGACCUGGUCUUGGUCUGUGCGGGAACCACGGCGUCCGUCCUCAUCCUGUGCUUCUGCGGGGUCUACUUCUACAGGGGCAGACGAGUACGGGUAAAGCCCAUUGAGAUGCUGUCCCGACUCCUUCCUGCUUCACUGCUGAGGUUGUCUUUUUGUUUCUGCAGACUAAAGGGAACUUUAUCCCCGCGCGCCCCCCAGGACAGACAGACCCCCCAGACACAGAUCCUGCAGCUGCAACUCCAACCCCCCCCAGAUCCAACCGUAUUUAGUCACUUCGUUACAAUCGCCUUACUUUCACAGGUGAUCUGCACCAGCACCUCAACAGGCUCUUCGCUUUCCUGCCUAAUUUGUUGUAUCUGCAGAAAAAGCGUCAGCCACCACUUCCUGGCCGAGGCGCCGCUCGCCAUGGCUGGUAGAGGGAAGGUGCACAGCAAGCAUUGUAUCUGUUCAGCACAUCGACUUUUCCUUUGAAGUUUUUUUUCCUGUAAUGACUUGUCAAGACUUUUGAAGUUUUUUUUUUUCUGUAAAUGUUUCAUAAAAAAUGCAAUAAAUCUGCAAAAACCAUC